rnacentral:rRNA from 1 species
GGGUGGUAAUGCCGGAUGCUCCAUCACACCGCAUGGUGUGUUGGGAAAGCCUUUGCGGCAUGGGAUGGGGUCGCGUCCUAUCAGCUUGAUGGCGGGGUAACGGCCCACCAUGGCUUCGACGGGUAGCCGGCCUGAGAGGGCGACCGGCCACAUUGGGACUGAGAUACGGCCCAGACUCCUACGGGAGGCAGCAGUGGGGAAUAUUGCACAAUGGGCGCAMKCCUGAUGCAGCGACGCCGCGUGAGGGAUGGAGGCCUUCGGGUUGUAAACCUCUUUUGUUAGGGAGCAAGGCACUUCGUGUUGAGUGUACCCUUCGAAUAAGCACCGGCUAACUACGUGCCAGCAGCCGCGGUAAUACGUAGGGUGCAAGCGUUAUCCGGAAUUAUUGGGCGUAAAGGGCUCGUAGGCGGUUCGUCGCGUCCGGUGUGAAAGUCCAUCGCUUAACGGUGGAUCCGCGCCGGGUACGGGCGGGCUUGAGUGCGGUAGGGGAGACUGGAAUUCCCGGUGUAACGGUGGAAU